UUGCUGGGUGGAUUAGUGGCGAACGGGUGAGUAACACGUGAGUAACCUGCCCCUGACUCUGGGAUAAGCGUUGGAAACGACGUCUAAUACUGGAUAUGACUACUGGUCGCAUGGCCUGGUGGUGGAAAGAUUUUUUGGUUGGGGAUGGACUCGCGGCCUAUCAGCUUGUUGGUGAGGUAAUGGCUCACCAAGGCGACGACGGGUAGCCGGCCUGAGAGGGUGACCGGCCACACUGGGACUGAGACACGGCCCAGACUCCUACGGGAGGCAGCAGUGGGGAAUAUUGCACAAUGGGCGAAAGCCUGAUGCAGCAACGCCGCGUGAGGGAUGACGGCCUUCGGGUUGUAAACCUCUUUUAGUAGGGAAGAAGCGAAAGUGACGGUACCUGCAGAAAAAGCACCGGCUAACUACGUGCCAGCAGCCGCGGUAAUACGUAGGGUGCAAGCGUUGUCCGGAAUUAUUGGGCGUAAAGAGCUCGUAGGCGGUUUGUCGCGUCUGCUGUGAAAUCCCGAGGCUCAACCUCGGGCUUGCAGUGGGUACGGGCAGACUAGAGUGCGGUAGGGGAGAUUGGAAUUCCUGGUGUAGCGGUGGAAUGCGCAGAUAUCAGGAGGAACACCGAUGGCGAAGGCAGAUCUCUGGGCCGUAACUGACGCUGAGGAGCGAAAGCGUGGGGAGCGAACAGGAUUAGAUACCCUGGUAGUCCACGCCGUAAACGUUGGGCGCUAGAUGUAGGG
rnacentral:rRNA from 1 species